CCUGUCACAACGGCUUCCUGGCGUGGCAAGGCUAAACCAAUGGAGCA
rnacentral:ncRNA from 1 species